AGUACACCAGAGUAUCCAGGAAAAUGACGCCUUAGAUGAGCAUGUAUUUGUGCACGGCGAGAAGGCAUAACCAACACGUCAUCACGGCGUCAUCUUCCUGUGUACUCUGGUGUACU